CACGGAGUUAGCCGAUCCUUAUUCUUACGGUACCGUCAAGCCUCUACACGUAGAGGUGUUUCUUCCCGUACAAAAGCAGUUUACACACCAUAGAUGCGUCAUCCUGCACGCGGCAUGGCUGGUUCAGGCUUGCGCCCAUUGACCAAUAUUCCUCACUGCUGCCUCCCGUAGGAGUCUGGUCCGUGUCUCAGUACCAGUGUGGGGGUAUCUCCCUCUCAGGACCCCGUACCCAUCAUUGCCUUGGUAUGCCGUUACCACACCAACUAGCUAACUGGGACGCAUGCUCAUCUUACACCAAUAAACUCUUUAAUAUGUUUGGGAUGUCCCAGUCAUAUACUAUAAGGUAUAAUCCAAAUUCCCUGGCUAUCCCUUAGUGUAAGGUAGAUUGCAUACGCGUUACGCACCCGUGCGCCGGUCUCAAAGCCCGAAGACUUCUACCCCUCGACUUGCAUGUGUUAGGCCUGCCGCUACGCGUUCAUCCUGAGCCAGGAUCAAAC
rnacentral:rRNA from 1 species